UACGUAGGGACCGAGCGUUGUCCGGAAUCAUUGGGCGUAAAGAGCGUGUAGGCGGCUUGCUAAGUCUUGCGUGAAAUCUCGGGGCUCAACCCCGAGCGGUCGUGGGAAACUGGCAGGCUAGAGUGCGGGAGAGGAGAAUGGAAUUCCUGGUGUAGCGGUGAAAUGCGCAGAUAUCAGGAAGAACACCCGUGGCGAAGGCGGUCUGCUGGGCAGUAGCUGACGCUGAGGCGCGACAGCGUGGGGAGCAAACAGG
rnacentral:rRNA from 1 species